rnacentral:rRNA from 1 species
GACGAACGCUGGCGGCGUGCUUAACACAUGCAAGUCGAACGGUAAGGCCCUUCGGGGUACACGAGUGGCGAACGGGUGAGUAACACGUGGGUGAUCUGCCCUGCACUUUGGGAUAAGCCUGGGAAACUGGGUCUAAUACCGAAUAGGACUCCGGACUGCAUGGUCUGGGGUGGAAAGCUUUUGCGGUGUGGGAUGGGCCCGCGGCCUAUCAGCUUGUUGGUGGGGUGAUGGCCUACCAAGGCGACGACGGGUAGCCGGCCUGAGAGGGUGACCGGCCACACUGGGACUGGGAUACGGCCCAGACUCCUACGGGAGGCAGCAGUGGGGAAUAUUGCACAAUGGGCGCAAGCCUGAUGCAGCGACGCCGCGUGAGGGAUGACGGCCUUCGGGUUGUAAACCUCUUUCAGCACAGACGAAGCGCAAGUGACGGUAUGUGCAGAAGAAGGACCGGCCAAUUACGUGCCAGCAGCCGCGGUAACAC